GACGGAGGGGGCUAGCGUUGUUCGGAAUUACUGGGCGUAAAGAGCACGUAGGUGGUCUAGUAAGUUAGAAGUGAAAGCCCGAGGCUCAACCUCGGAAUAGCUUUUAAAACUGCUAGACUAGAGUAUAGUAGGGGAUGGUGGAAUUCCUAGUGUAGAGGUGGAAUUCUUAGAUAUUAGGAGGAACACCGGUGGCGAAGGCGACCAUCUGGGCUAUUACUGACACUGAGGUGCGAAAGCGUGGGGAGCAAACAGG
rnacentral:misc_RNA from 1 species